rnacentral:rRNA from 63 species
AACCUGCGGAGGGAUCAUUA